ACAGGCUUUACAAAAUCCAAAAUAAAGACAAGACGAUAGUGGAUGAUUUAGUUUUGAAACUACAUGCAAAAGCGCCUGUUUGGCAAUAUUUUGGAUUUUGAAAAGCCUGUUGACUUUUGCCAUUUAUC